GACGAACGCUGGCGGCGUGCUUAACACAUGCAAGUCGAGCGGUAAGGCCCUUUCGGGGGUACACGAGCGGCGAACGGGUGAGUAACACGUGGGUGACCUGCCCUCAGCUCUGGGAUAAGCCUGGGAAACCGGGUCUAAUACCGGAUAUGACUCCAUGACGCAUGUUGUGGGGUGGAAAGCCUUGUGCGGCUGAGGAUGGGCCCGNGGCCUAUCAGCUU
rnacentral:rRNA from 1 species